rnacentral:rRNA from 1 species
UACGUAGGUGGCGAGCGUUAUCCGGAAUUAUUGGGCGUAAAGAGCGCGCAGGUGGUUGAUUAAGUCUGAUGUGAAAGCCCACGGCUUAACCGUGGAGGGUCAUUGGAAACUGGUUGACUUGAGUGCAGAAGAGGGAAGCGGAAUUCCAUGUGUAGCGGUGAAAUGCGUAGAGAUAUGGAGGAACACCAGUGGCGAAGGCGGCUUCCUGGUCUGUAACUGACACUGAGGCGCGAAAGCGUGGGGAGCAAACAGG